rnacentral:rRNA from 1 species
GGGGAUAACGUCCCGAAAGGGACGCUAAUACCGCAUGACAUCCUGCUUUUGAACGAGCGGAGAUCUUUUUCUCUGGUCGCAAGACCUAGCGCUUGAAGAGGGGCCCGCGUCCGAUUAGCUAGUUGGUGAGGUAACGGCUCACCAAGGCUACGAUCGGUAGCCGGCCUGAGAGGGCGGACG